rnacentral:rRNA from 1 species
CAAACGACUCUCGGCAACGGAUAUCUCGGCUCACGCAUCGAUGAAGAACGUAGCAAAAUGCGAUACUUGGUGUGAAUUGCAGAAUCCCGUGAACCAUCGAGUUUUUGAACGCAAGUUGCGCCCGAUGCCAAUCGGCUGAGGGCACGUCUGCCUGGGCGUCACG